UAGUAAUCGCGGAUCAGCAUGCCGCAGUGAAUACGUUCUCGGGCCUUGUACACACCGCCCGUCACACCAUGGGAGUCGGUAACACCCGAAGUCUGUAGCCUGACGCAAGAGGGCGCAGCCGAAGGUGGGAUUGAUGACUGGGGUGAAGUCGUAACAAGGUAAC
rnacentral:rRNA from 1 species